rnacentral:rRNA from 1 species
UACGGAGGGGGGCAAGCGUUGUUCGGAAUUACUGGGCGUAAAGGGCUCGUAGGCGCCAACUAAGUCAGACGUGAAGUCCCUCGGCUUAACCGGGGAACUGCGUCUGAUACUGGUUGGCUUGAAUCCGGAAGAGGAGAGUGGAAUUCCUGGUGUAGCGGUGAAAUGCGCAGAUAUCAGGAAGAACACCAAUGGCGAAGGCAGCUCUCUGGGACGGUACUGACGCUGAGACGCGAAAGCGUGGGGAGCGAACAGG